CCCGCUGAAUUUAAGCAUAUCACUAAGCGGAGGAAAAGAAACCAACAGGGAUUCCCUUAGUAGCGGCGAGCGAAACGGGACCUAGCCCAGCACCGAAUCCCUCGUCCUUGCCGGCGAUCGGGAAAUGUGGUGUAUGGGAGGUAACGUUCCCGAGAGUUUUGCGGUGGUGCAAGUCCCCCUGACAGGGGCUUGACCCAGAGUGGGUGCCAGGCCCGUCUCCGCCACUGCUCUCUCGGGAUGGAACCUCCCGUGAGUCGGGUUGCUUGAGAGUGCAGCCCUAAUUGGGUGGUAAACUCCAUCUAAGGCUAAAUACGUCCGAGAGACCGAUAGUUCACAAGUACCGUGAGGGAAAGGUGAAAAUAACUUUGAAGAGAGAGUUCAAGAGUACGUGAAACCGCUUAGAGUAAAACGGGUGGGCCCUCGAAGCUCGAGGGCGGUGGGAUUCAGUUUCGCUGUGACGUGGAGCGGUGUCAGCGUCUUGGUUUACGGGCUCUCCUUGUGGGGGCCCGUAAAACACCACGAAAUGAGAACCCUACCCCAAAAGCCGCACUCCUAAUUUAUCCGACUAAACCCAAGAAAAAUGAAGAACACAGGCAGGUGGUGCAGGUUUUGCGCUCCGCAUUCACUCCCACCGACAUCGGCCUGGAAGCGCCG
rnacentral:rRNA from 1 species